ACGCUGGGACAAUGAAGUGUCUGUUCUGUUUCUUUGUGCAAAUGCUGCAACUGUAAAGGAAAAAAGAGACCUUUCUAGAAGCAGUGGACAAGUUGUGGACUGCAGUCAGAUCUAUCACAGACCUCUGGACAACAGAAAUUCCACCAACAGCUAAACUGGCUCCUGGACGCAUCACAGAGGUGCUUCUUUGCUAUCCUGCUGAAAAACCUCACCCUAGAAACCACAUGCUCAGUGGGCUCAGAUGCAGCAGAGGGAACAUGAACAAAGAGAGCUCCUUCACUGCAGUGCAGCUUGGAUCAGAUCCAAAAGACUCGCAGGCAGGAGGCAGACUGGAAAAAAAAAAGAUGCAGACAAGUAAUUUUUAGAAUAGACCUUAUUAUUGAUUGUUGCUUUCACUGGUGUGACAUGCAGACACAAACCUGUGAUGGCAUCCUCAUAAAACGCCCUUUAGAAGUCUCCUCACAUCAACAGCGUAGACAAUUGCCACAUGUUCCUUGGGGUCAUUUAGAUCUACAGAGAAAGACGUGCCCAAGCCUAUUUAUUGUGGCAGCACAGAUCAUAAAGCUGUGUCCUGUGUGUCCUGCAAAGUCAAAAUAUCCUUUAAACAAACAGGGUAAUAGAGGAGUAUUGCUGAUUCUUCUCUUUUUACUACAGAUCUGGGUAUCUGUUUGUUUUUCUUAAGAUUUCAUCUUCUGAAGUUGGUAGCUUAUUAAAAACUUUGUUUAUUUAAGGUAUUUUUAGCAUAAGGCUUAAAAACCAAACCUCGGAUGGUUGUCUUUUUUUGGUAAUCUCAUAAUAUUACACUCAAUCUUACAGUACUUUGGCUUGUGACUCACUAUUUUUGUAACCCUUGAGCUUGGCAGGACAAGGACAAGCAGUAACAUGCCACAGCCCUGUUUGUCUUGUGGCUGGAACUUCAGCAAAGAUCAGGCUUUAUUGCAGAGAUACAGGUUUGGGAAGAAAAUAUUUAUCUCCACAACUGUAAAUAGAUGAAUAUAAUUAUCUGGUGUCAUACACAGUGAGAGACGUCUGAGGUAGGUAAUACUGUAAGAAUAUACAUUGUGGGUUUUUUUUCCCUGUGGCAAGUAGCCCUAUUUUUAUCUGAACAAAGGAACAGAACUGACCUGGCUGCACGUACUCACAUCGCCUGACUAGCCGGCUGUCCCAACUUAAAGCCUUGUACUAAAGAUAAACAGAUUGCUUCAUUUGACAUUGCUCACUUAGAAAUGAUAUGUGGUUGCUAAGACAUUAGUGUACAUAAAACCCAGACCCAGCUUGUGUUCUAGAAUGUUACAGAUUUGUUGGAAGCAUUUCUUUGACCUCCAGAUACUUCUCUUCUGAAAGUAGGUUGCUUUGUACCAGUGCCCAAUGACCUACUUUUGAAACCACUUGGAAAGAAAUACGUGUUCCCAACUGCAGGCCGCUGGCACCACCUGUGCAGUCAGGCCAGUCACAAGGUAAUUUCUGUUUUAUUGACCUUUGCAUUUAUUUAUAUACAGUUCACAGUCAGCUGCUUGAUGAUUCUUAUUCACCAAGAGCUACAUAGUGGUGUGUACCUUAUAGACUUUGUAUUUAUGUUGUAUAACCACAACAUAAACAGAUCUCCUGUGUCUGUAGCAAAUUCAAGUAAUAAUAUACUUUCUAAAGAAAUUCUGAGGUAAAGCUGAAAUUCAGUAAAACAAAGUCACCGGGGCAUGACCUCCAGCCUAGGAGAUUGUUCUGUACAUAUAAUGUGUGAAAAUAAGGCAGAAUCUGGCCCACAAUAUAGAAACACUGCAUUCUGACUUUAAAAAGAAGUAGCUUUCAAUUUGGUAAUAAUUAUCUUUGAAAUAGUGUUAAGGAAUCUAUGCAGAUACUAGGUGUGAAACAUUCAGGACAUGAGUUUACUACAGAGAAAAUAUCAAGGGACGGGAAAAGAGUCAUUUAAGAAGCUUUCUGUAUUCAGCCCACCCCCUACCCAGAAACAAAAGAGGUGGGCUCCAUACAGGCACAUAGAUGGCUACUGAAGAUUAAUAAUUAGGAGAAUUAAAUGAAUCCAAUCAGUAGAGGCUGCAGAAUGGUGGCCUGUGUGGAGUACACUGCCUACAGGCUAUGGAGAUUAGUUUAAUUCUGCUGGGCCCAGGAGCUGCAUGCACAAAGCCUGACUCUUUGUUUAUCUCUUUUGACAGAGGGAUAACUGGGGAAAAUAAUGAGGCUUUUUACAUGAAAUUGAUGAAUUUAAACCAUAAUUGUCUAAAAGUAUGAGCCUGUGUUCGAUGUCAGCAUGUUGCUGCCUGCGCUUGCUUAGGAUAACGUCAUUUCCCUGAAGAAUGGAUUUUUCAGGAGCCAUUAUUAAGAAGGUAUUUAAACAAUUACCCAUGGCAGGCCCAUCUGGUGGAAUUUUAUUCUGAUCUGUUGAUUUGAAUACUUACACAGAAACAGAACAACCAUACUGAAAGCAGACGGGUCAUAGGAUUUAGCCAUACUUGGAAAAUACAAGGGAAAGCUCCUGUGUUUUCUGGUUUACACAUAAAGGGGAAAAAAAAAGAAAUUUCUUUUUUCUCCUUCUCCAUUUAGAGGGACAUUAAAAAGCAAGGACCUGCACACUAAAAACCUUAAUGCAAGUCUGAUGUGCUGAAACGCAGGCCAGACUUCUUAGCCUGUUAAUCUCCAGUUUAACACAUACAAGAUGUGGCCUUUCACAUUUGUAAGUUUUAGUUACUCUGGCCUUCCUCUCAGGACUCCAUGAUCUUGUUUGGCUUUGGAACAUGGUUCCCAGAGCAGUGUGUGGGAUAUGCAGGCCAGCUGUGGAACAAGCCUUUAGUCACCCUGGCACCAGGCAAACCAAACAAAGGUAUUGGAAACACUGAGCAAAAAUGGCAGCAUAAAGAAAACAAAUGUGCUAUUGCCUAAAUCUGAUAUUGCCUUCUGUCCUAAAUUUAUGUCACUGGAUAGUAUUCCCAAGGUUGGUUAUUGCCAUGGAGCCAUCUCUAAACUUUGCAGUUAACCAUUUUCCCCUCUUCCUGUGAAUACAUUGCGAAUAGUU